rnacentral:tRNA from 1 species
AGGUGGUUGGGCGUGGUAAUCCUGCUUUACACGCAGGGGGUCAGAGGUUCGAGUCCUCUACCGCCCACCA